rnacentral:rRNA from 1 species
CAGGAAGCAGCUUGCUGCUUUGCUGACGAGUGGCGGACGGGUGAGUAAUGUCUGGGAAACUGCCUGAUGGAGGGGGAUAACUACUGGAAACGGUGGCUAAUACCGCAUAACGUCGCAAGACCAAAGAGGGGGACCUUCGGGCCUCUUGCCAUCAGAUGUGCCCAGAUGGGAUUAGCUUGUUGGUGAGGUAACGGCUCACCAAGGCGACGAUCCCUAGCUGGUCUGA